CAGCUAGCCCUUAGAUUUGUCUGCUAACAGUAAAAAUCCUAUAAUAAAUCGGUAACAUAUGUUGCCAGACAAGGAUAAGUGAUAUAAAUAAAGAGCCUGGGAGACCUAACCCAAGUACAAUGUGAAAAGAAUUUAACUUGCAACCUAUUUGUUGACUAAUUACCAUUUGAAAAGUCAGUUGAAAGUGUUAACUGUUAUUUGCUUAUAUUCUUCCUCAUGUUUCUCUUCUUCUCCUCUUCAGAUUGCCUUUUAACCAAAAUAUUCUUCGUGAUUGCCUGCUUUGCGGCUUUGGGCACUGGAGCAUUUUGCUGUCUUUGUCAAAGUGAAUGACAACAAUUUGGCCAACUCUCUCUGAGCUGCGCUCAACAGUGACAGGCAAAUUAUCAGAGGCCCUGCACUUCUUAUUAUCAGAGGAGAAGUCAUCAGGAGGACGCAUGGAGGAUCCCUCUCCCUUGUCACUAUUUGUCAGUGGGACAAGGGCCACUGCUAUGGGUAGCUGACAGGAAACAUUUCCUUUUGUCUAAGGAAGUCACAUCUGCACCUGCUACUGUCCUUUGCAUUAUGCCUUUCAUAUCAGCAAGAACAACAACAACAAAAAGAACUGUUCCUUUUUAAUGUAAAGGGAUAGACAAAAGUCCUCUUAGCUAUCUAGGUUUCUACCUAUUAACAGUGGACCCCAGAAAACAGUCCAGGCCUCCCCAAGUAAAACUUCCCGAUCAAACCAAUUUGCCAUUUUAGUAUUUGUCCAGAAAGACAAUGGGCCAUCAGCCUGACAGCAGUAAAAGAAUUUGAAAAUCUCUAAUUAGGAGAGCUGCAGAGCAAUUAACGCAUGUCAAAUUUCACUUCAUCAAGUGCCACUCUAAUUUUCCCACUAAAAAUUAAUGGACUUUUUUUUUUUUUGUAUGUGUGUGUCCCCUUAAGGCGAUGUUGAUUCAAAUCUGUUCAAGAUGCAGUGUUGCACAGCUAAGCAUCUUCUUGAUUACAAUCCGCCACACUUCUAACUGCUUUCAUUGUCACUGCCACAGAUACUUUGUCAACAGUCAAAUUACACCAUGCUGAUAACAAUGCAUAAUGGUGUUCCUCAGUGGAGUCCCCUGUCAUGAAACAGUGUUUCAUAAAAAUGUGAUGCUUUCUUUUCAAGGAAAUGGAACUCUGGCAAAUAAGUUUGUGUGGUUUGGUCAUUGAUGCAGAUUGACUUUUUUGUGUAUGCAUUAAUCACCCCCCCAAAAGAUGUAAGGUGUCUGUGUAUUAAAAUACUGUGAAUAAUUUAGAAGGAGAAUGGGCCAUGGAAAAUAUUUAUGUUGGAAGUUUUGCCCAAGCACUUUGUUUUGGGACAUUUUCAAGAGCACUUUCUUGGUGAAAUACAAGCUUUUUUUUUUUUAACCCCUUCUUUACUUAAAGUCUAUAAACAUAUUGAAUGGAAGCCUCUCUCUAACAGGCAUUAUUUAGAUUAAAGAAAGGUUUGUUUAACUUCCCUCUUUGUCAGAAUUCUCAAAACAUCACAGGACCCAGAAGAUAAAUGACUGGUUUUUUUUUUUUUUUUUGGUUAGAGUUACUUGUAUUUUAGAAAAUGAAAUUGGUUCAUCUAAACUAUUUUUUAUCUUAGGGGCUUGUUGAGGAUCAUUAUGCUUGUACCAUUAGCACUUUCCAAGAGUAUUGUAAGCUGGAAAAAAAGAAAGAAAUCCAGUGGUUAAAAAGCUGAAGGCAUAACUUUCAAAGGCUUUUGAGGGUCUUAAGGUUUUUCUUUUAAAUUUCUAAAAUCAGAGACGUCAAACUAAAAGAAUGAAAUUAAAUGAGAGGCUUUAUUUCUCUUUUUUUCUUCAAUUUUUGCAGGUAGUGAAGAGAAUAUACAUGCAAUGAAUCAAAGCUUCAAUUUGUUCAAAUAUGCAUUUUAUGGUAUGUUCUUUUUUAACCAUCACCAUUAUAUAAUGACAAAAUAAAUU